rnacentral:rRNA from 1 species
CCUCCGGGGCGCAGCAGUGCGGAAUAUUGGUCAAUGGGCGGAAGCCUGAACCCGCCCCUUCUCUUGCGGGCCUAAGGCCCUACGGGUCGUAAACCUCUUUUGCCGGGGAGCAAGGGCGGGGACGUGUCCCGGCCCGGAGAGUACCCGGAGAAAAAGCAUCGGCUAACUCCGUGCCAGCAGCCGCGGUAAUACGGAGGAUGCGAGCGUUAUCCGGAUUUAUUGGGUUUAAAGGGUGCGUAGGCGGGCUUUUAAGUCAGCGGUAAAAAUUCGGGGCUCAACCCCGUCCGGCCG